rnacentral:antisense_RNA from 1 species
GAUCCCACUGGCAGUAGAGAAUCACUAAAUGUCCAUUUCUGAAUGAAUUCUACUCCCCAGAGACAUUAACACACGAUGUACUUGGCUUGAAUCCUAUUUGAUGUAAGAAAAUUGGCCAAGAGUCCUUCAUAAGUUACUCACAUCUGAGGCACCAUUGGGCUGACCGUGGGACAACUCCAGAUGGGGAGUGCUGUGUACCCUCUGCCUCUCCUGUGACCUGAACACCUCCUCUCUCUCUCCAUGGACGACGUUUUCAUCUUAUGGUCUGGGAAUGCUACCUGACCACCUGGAGGGUCACCCAAGGAAAGAGUUCGUUCCAAAGACAGGUGCUCCUCUGAGUUCCUCUGGAAUCUGGCAAGGUGCCGAGCUUGGACGCAAGGCUUCCACGAGGCUGUGAAGGAGGCUGCAUGGAAACCGAACCUGGUGUGGAGGGCCAGGAGAGGCUUCAGGACUGAAGGGCAGAGCAGCAGACUCCGGGGCUCAUGUAGGAACAUGCCUUCAGCCAAAGAUUAUCCACGCUGCAUGGAGACUCUUGCUAAAUAUCACUGGGGUAAGAUUGAAGAAAAGAAAUAAACUAUGCUACCUGCUCUCAAUAAA